GCUGGGCAUGGUGGCGCAUGCCUGUAAUCCCAGUAGCUCAGGAGGCUGAGACAAGAGGAUGGCAGGUUUGAAGCCAGCCUCAGCAACUGAGAGAGGUUAUAAGCAACCUAGUGAGACCCAGUCUCAA
rnacentral:sRNA from 1 species